rnacentral:rRNA from 1 species
AUUGAACGCUGGCGGCAGGCCUAACACAUGCAAGUCGAGCGGAUGACAGGAGCUUGCUCCUUGAUUCAGCGGCGGACGGGUGAGUAAUGCCUAGGAAUCUGCCUGGUAGUGGGGGACAACGUUUCGAAAGGAACGCUAAUACCGCAUACGUCCUACGAGAGAAAGCAGGGGACCUUCGGGCCUUGCGCCAUCAGAUGAGCCUAGGUCGGAUUAGCUAGUUGGUGGGGUAAUGGCUCACCAAGGCGACGAUCCGUAACUGGUCUGAGAGGAUGAUCAGUCACACUGGAACUGAGACACGGUCCAGACUCCUACGGGAGGCAGCAGUGGGGAAUAUUGGACAAUGGGCGAAAGCCUGAUCCAGCCAUGCCGCGUGUGUGAAGAAGGUCUUCGGAUUGUAAAGCACUUUAAGUUGGGAGGAAGGGCAGUAAGUUAAUACCUUGCUGUUUUGACGUUACCGACAGAAUAAGCACCGGCUAACUCUGUGCCAGCCGCCGCGGUAACAC